AAGUUAAACGGCCGCGGUACCCUAACCGUGCGAAGGUAGCGCAAUCACUUGUUCUUUAAAUGAGGACUAGUAUGAACGGCAUCACGAAGGUUAUACUGUCUCCUUCCUCCAAUCAGUGAAACUGACCCCCCCGUGAAGAGGCGGGGAUAAAAAUAUAAGACGAGAAGACCCCAUGGAGCUUUAAACUCAGCAUCAAUUGCCCAACUCAAAUAUCAUUUUAAAUCAGCAAACCUGACAGCUAGUUUUCGGUUGGGGUGACCACGGAGCAAAACAAAACCUCCAUGAUGAAAGGACAAACCUCCUAAUCUAAGAGCUACAACUCAAAGAAUCAAUAAACUGACAUAACUUGAUCCAAUUAACUUUGAUCAACGAACCAAGUUACCCUGGGGAUAACAGCGCAAUCCACUUCAAGAGCCCCUAUCGACAAGUGGGUUUACGACCUCGAUGUUGGAUCAGGGUAUCCCAGUGGUGCAGCCGCUACUAAUGGUUCGUUUGUUCAACGAUUAA
rnacentral:rRNA from 1 species